GAUGAACGCUGGCGGCGUGCUUAACACAUGCAAGUCGAACGAGAAUCAACGGAUUGAGGAUUCGUCCAAAUGAAGUUGAGGAAAGUGGCGGACGGGUGAGUAACGCGUGAGGAACCUGCCUCGGAGUGGGGAAUAACAGUUGGAAACGACUGCUAAUACCGCAUAAGCCCACGGCCCGGCAUCGGGUUGAGGGAAAAGGAUUUAUUCGCUUCAGGAUGGACUCGCGUCCAAUUAGCUAGUUGGUGGGGUAACGGCCCACCAAGGCGACGAUUGGUAGCCGGACUGAGAGGUUGAACGGCCACAUUGGGACUGAGACACGGCCCAG
rnacentral:rRNA from 1 species